GGUCAAAGUAGUAAGACGUGGACAGGUUGAUCUGGCGGUUGAUGGCGGCCUCUGAGUCCUGGUGGUAGUUCUGGCGCACCUGCGAGGUGGACGCGGUCGUCAUGGCAGUGACUAAGGAGAGGCGGCGGCGGCGGCUGCUGCGCGGCGCUGGAGCUGCGGCGGGGGCCUUGGGGCAGUCCCAGGGCGCGGUGAAGAGGUGACGGAGGGCUGGCUAUGGGCGGCUGGCCGGGGUAGGGGACGAGGGCUGGGUUCCAUCCAAGCACUGUUGAAG
rnacentral:lncRNA from 1 species